ACUCAGGCCCACCUAGCCACACUGGGGGAACGUCACAGCAGGCGGCGCUCAGGGUGCUGUGACUUCCCUAGGGAAGCGUCUUUAGAGAGACGUGUUUGCAGGUUACCAGUAAGUGUGCUAAUGAAAAAUCAUUAGCUGAUGGUAUCCAGUUACAAGACCUGGUCAAUACUAAAAGGAGGAACUGAGUGUCAUACAAGAACUACAAGAUGAAAGCUGAGCAACCAAGUAUUUAAGAACUACAAAGGUUUUGCUGUAAAGUGGAAACUGUGGAAGAAUUGAGAAAAAGAAAGGCUUGGGUGUGUGGCUACAGAUGUGGAAAACACAGUGCUAGUGUUUAUCAACCAGCCAGCUUCAGCAGGGACACACAGAGGAGAAUGAGUAUGCACCUUACUUCU
rnacentral:lncRNA from 12 species